rnacentral:rRNA from 1 species
UACGUAGGGUGCGAGCGUUAAUCGGAAUUACUGGGCGUAAAGCGUGCGCAGGCGGUGAUGUAAGACCGAUGUGAAAUCCCCGGGCUUAACCUGGGAAUGGCGAUGGUGACUGCAAGGCUAGAGUUUGGCAGAGGGGGGUAGAAUUCCACGUGUAGCAGUGAAAUGCGUAGAUAUGUGGAGGAACACCGAUGGCGAAGGCAGCCCCCUGGGUCAAAACUGACGCUCAUGCACGAAAGCGUGGGGAGCAAACAGG